CUCAGUCACCUGUGGGAGAGUCAUACAGAACCUCUUCCACCUCUUUGUUGGACGUCUGUUCGAGACUCCUUCCUGUUUUCUUUAGGUUUCAGUCGAUGGCUCACCACCAUCUAGCUCUCUUCCACAUCUCUAGUGCUGGCACAUAACAGGCACUCGAUAAAUAUUUGAUGAAUGAAUGAAUCCGUGUCAAUAGUUCUCAAUAUUUGGAAUAAAGACUCCUUAUGGAAUGUGAUGAAAUCAAUGCAUUCCCUCCUCAGAAAUGACUGGAGAGCCUUCCUGGAUUCGGGAAGAGUGGACAAAGGCCAAGAAGGGCAUGUAGAGAGAAAAGAAUGAAUCCAAGGGAGGCGCAACCUUUCUGUGCCUUCACAGGCCUUGAAGAUGCAAGCUGCCAUGAGUUGUGUAGCUGCAAGGAGCUGAACUCUGCCAACAAACACCUGUCCUUGGAGUAGGACCCCAGCCUCAUGUGAGACCUCAGCCCCAGGUGUCACCUUGAUUGCAGCUUUGAAGAACCCAAAGCACGCCUGGACUCCUGACCCAUGGAAACAGAUAAUAAAUGUGCGUUGUUCAAAGUUUCCAUGUUUGUAGUCAUUUUUCACACAACAACAGGAAACUAAUACAAACAUUGUUUUAAGAAUCCAAAGUAAACCCGGCCCCCACCCUAUCCCGCUUACUCUCUCCUGCAGCACCGGGCUCUCUUCCUGAUCGCAAAUGAUCACCGUUUGCAAUCAUAUAUGUCUGCUUGCUUGUUAUUACCCUUCCACUAGUCUGUGAGCAAAGGAGGAUGGAGACCACGUGUGUUUUGUCACCACUGUAUACCUAGCACAGAGCCUGGCACAGAGUAGAGUUCUCAGCAAAAAAUAUGUGAUUGGUGAACUGCUGAAUUAACAAGGAACCCCGGCAGGAAAUGGACACAUGCUUACAGAACACAGGGUGGUAUUACUCCUGGACCUAUGAGGACCCUUAACACCCACAGGAGAUUCGCCUAGAGAGUUUCAUAAAUGCUCAGAGUCAUGAC
ensembl:lncRNA